UACGUAGGUGGCAAGCGUUUGUCCGGAUUUACUGGGCGUAAAGAGCGCGCAGGCGGUCAGAUAAGUCGAAUGUGGAAAGCCCCCGGCCUCAACUGGGGAGGGUCAUUCGAUACUGUUCGACUCGAAGGCAGGGGAGGGAAGUGGAAUUCCCGGUGUAGUGGUGAAAUGCGUAGAUAUCGGGAGGAACACCAGUGGCGAAGGCGAACUUCCUGGCCUGGUUCUUGACGCUGAGGCGCGAAAGCUAGGGGAGCAAACGGGG
rnacentral:rRNA from 1 species